rnacentral:rRNA from 1 species
UACGUAGGUGGCAAGCGUUGUUCGGAAUUACUGGGCGUAAAGCGCACGUAGGCGGAUACUUAAGUCAGGGGUGAAAUCCCGAGGCUCAACCUCGGAACUGCCUUUGAUACUGGGUAUCUCGAGUCCGGAAGAGGUGAGUGGAAUUCCGAGUGUAGAGGUGAAAUUCGUAGAUAUUCGGAGGAACACCAGUGGCGAAGGCGGCUCACUGGUCCGGUACUGACGCUCAUGUGCGAAAGCGUGGGGAGCAAACAGG